GAGGGAAUCUUCCGCAAUGGGCGAAAGCUUGACGGAGCAACGCCGCGUGAGUGAUGAAGGUCUUCGGAUCGUAAAACUCUGUUAUUAGGGAAGAACAAAUGUGUAAGUAACUAUGCACGUCUUGACGGUACCUAAUCAGAAAGCCACGGCUAACUACGUGCCAGCAGCCGCGGUAAUACGUAGGUGGCAAGCGUUAUCCGGAAUUAUUGGGCGUAAAGCGCGCGUAGGCGGUUUUUUAAGUCUGAUGUGAAAGCCCACGGCUCAACCGUGGAGGGUCAUUGGAAACUGGAAAACUUGAGUGCAGAAGAAGAAAGUGGAAUUCCAUGUGUAGCGGUGAAAUGCGCAGAGAUAUGGAGGAACACCAGUGGCGAAGGCGACUUUCUGGUCUGUAAAUGACGCUGAUGUGCGAAAGCGGGGGGAUCAAACAGG
rnacentral:rRNA from 1 species